ACGAAAAAAAAAAAGCAUAUGUCAUGUCACCCUGUCAGAUUCUCACAUGAUACAGUCAUUCGCAAGUAAUCCACUUUCGUUUUCCGUAUUGAAAGGGGUAACAUAAAGGUAAAUUAACGCACAUAUCUCAUAGAAAUUCUCAAAAAAAAUUAAUAUAUGAUAUUUCAUUAGGAAAAUUAGUUUAUAGUUUUGUAUUUAUAAAUUAUUAUACUGUUACUUGUACUUAUGAUAUUUUGAAUGUCUUUAUAAAAUAACAUGGAUGUAAACGCUUUUACAAAUAUUACUACCAGGAACGAAAAAGUUUAAUUAGAAUUCACCGAAAGAAUAAAGGUUGUAAGCGUGCAUUAUUGAGAAAACAGGAUGUGUAUAAGUGUAUUCGUUUCUUUACGUGCAAUCUAGUUGAAGGAAGUUUCAAUUAUAAUUCACCGAAAGAAUCCUUUUGAUUGAUAAAUUUUGAGAAAGGGUGUGGCGUAGGUAACACGCGCUGAAGAGAAGACGGAGCACGAAUCAGCCUAAUCUGGUCCAAGUUGGGUUUGAAACUUGAAUGUGGAUAGAUACACAAUGGAAGGCCGUUAUUGAAUCUUAAAUUGUUUGCGUCGUGGGUCCCCCCAUUCACAUGGCUUUUCCUUCUCGUGUUUAGGCAUGUCGUAUCACUCGAAAUUGCGUUUCCACCACCUCGAAACGAAAAUAAAUAUGUUAAAAACUUAUUAGUUUAUGCAUUUAUAUGUUGCUAAUAAAAAGGGUUUAUAACGUGCAUAUGCGGCUUAUUGGGCCGAUUACAAAUCGCUUGUUUUUUGUUACAAUAUUCACUGUUCCGAAGAGAACAACCCACAAAAGGUAUAACAUUCGCCUCUCCAGAACCGACCUGAACAGAAGCAACCUAAAUAUGGGUUUCGGGCCUAGAAAAUGUGCUUUUAAAUCCCCGACUAUUAGAAAUCAUCACUUUUAAUAUCCAACUAACUCUUCUGGAGAUUUAAUUCAAAAAAUAUCGUUGACUGCACAAAAUCAGAUAUUAAAAAGUUAAAUGUUAAUUAUUACAUGAAUUAAAAUUAGUAAAAAGAUUGGUUUAGCUUUUAAAAACCCAGAAAUUCUUAAAAUUAACUAUGUAAGAUAAUGGAGGAGAUUUUAAUCGAGUUCAAACGAUUUUUGGUGAAAAAAAAGAAAGUUUCAGUGAGAAUAUAAAACUUCCGAUAUUGAAAAUGGAGAACAUGAUUCCUUUUUUU